CUUAAUGCCCAAAGUCGAAAUCCGGAAUCCUAUGGUUCGAUUCGAUCCCUUUCUCCCCUUUGAAGCGACAAGAUCGAGGCCGCCAUGGCGUGGGAGCUCUUCCUUUGGCUCCUCGCCUUCGCCGCUGCGAUCUCUCUCAUCGGAUUCAGCGCCUAUCAGCUCAUUUGCUUAUCUGAUUUGGAGUUUGACUAUAUCAACCCAUAUGAUUUAUCAUCACGAAUCAAUGCUGUUGUGGUUCCAGAGUUCAUGGUGCAGGGAACCUUAUGCAUUUUAUUCCUUCUGACAUGGCAUUGGUUUCCAUUUCUACUAAUGGCUCCCAUCACUUAUUACCACACAAAGCUAUAUAUGAAAAGGAAGCAUCUAAUUGAUGUUACUGAGAUCUUUAGACUGCUGAAUGAAGAGAAGAAAUACAGAAUAAUCAAGCUUGCUUUUUAUUGCAGCAUUUUUAUCAUUGUUAUUUACAGGCUUGUCACAACUGCUGUUCUUUUACUUAUGGAAGACGAUUAUCGGACUAUGGAGUCUGGGAUCUUUUAGUGUGUGUUUCUAGAGUGCAGAGCUUGUGUAGAUUUUGAGGAAGCCGGCUUUAAUCUAAUGGACUAUUCCAGAUCUUUCAGAUCGGGGAAUUUGACGUCAGUUGUGGAGUUGAAGGAUUCUCUUUCAAAGUUCCAGACAACUCUUCUUAAGAAAGAUGUAUUUGUUACCAUCGAAGCUGUCAUUUGCCUCUUGCCAUUCUGCAAGGAGAAUAGGAGGAUUCCCCGUGAACACUGAAGUUUUGGCGCAACUUUUGCUUCAUGUAUCGUGUAAUCACUUCAGCUGCCGCUUGUUUCUUGAGAUGAUUUGGGCGUGAUAUCUUUCUGUCUUCAUCGAACUUGCAUUAUGAUUCAUUUUGUUUAUGCCUGAUGCUGUAAAAUUGUUGAGAGUAAGAGUAUUGUAUCCUUGUGUUCUUUGUCUUGUUUGGACAGAUACGUGAUAACCUCACUGGUGGUCUUCGGACCCUUAUUCCAGCUCUCGAUUCCGUUCACCGGUAGGUGAGGAUGAGAAAGUGGAACUCGCAUGGUUUUUGUGCUGGUAUAAUUUUUCUGUAAGCAUUAAACAGUCUUGUUAUAUCUGGUAACCUCACUGGAGAGUCAUCGGAA